rnacentral:rRNA from 1 species
AACGAACGCUGGCGGCAGGCUUAACACAUGCAAGUCGAGCGCCCCGCAAGGGGAGCGGCAGACGGGUGAGUAACGCGUGGGAAUCUACCCAUCUCUACGGAAUAACGCAUGGAAACGUGUGCUAAUACCGUAUACGUCCUUCGGGAGAAAGAUUUAUCGGAGAUGGAUGAGCCCGCGUUGGGUUAGCUAGUUGGUGGGGUAAAGGCCUACCAAGGCGACGAUCCAUAGCUGGUCUGAGAGGAUGAUCAGCCGCACUGGGACUGAGACACGGCCCAGACUCCUACGGGAGGCAGCAGUGGGGAAUAUUGGACAAUGGGCGCAAGCCUGAUCCAGCCAUGCCGCGUGAGUGAUGAAGGCCCUAGGGUUGUAAAGCUCUUUCACCGGUGAAGAUAAUGACGGUAACCGGAGAAGAAGCCCCGGCUAACUUCGUGCCAGCCGCCGCUGUAAGAC